rnacentral:rRNA from 1 species
UACGUAGGUGACAAGCGUUGUCCGGAUUUACUGGGCGUAAAGAGCGCGCAGGCGGUCGAUCAAGUCGAGUGUGAAAGCCCCCGGCUCAACUGGGGAGGGUCAUUCGAUACUGAUCGACUCGAAGGCAGGAGAGGGUAGUGGAAUUCCCGGUGUAGAGGUGAAAUUCGUAGAUAUCGGGAGGAACACCAGUGGCGAAGGCGGCGACCUGGGCCAAUAUUGACGCUGAGGUGCGAAAGCGUGGGGAUCAAACAGG